UACGAAGGGGGCUAGCGUUGCUCGGAAUUACUGGGCGUAAAGGGAGCGUAGGCGGACAGUUUAGUCAGAGGUGAAAGCCCAGGGCUCAACCUUGGAAUUGCCUUUGAUACUGGCUGUCUUGAGUACGGGAGAGGUGUGUGGAACUCCGAGUGUAGAGGUGAAAUUCGUAGAUAUUCGGAAGAACACCAGUGGCGAAGGCGGCUCACUGGCCCGGUACUGACGCUGAGGUGCGAAAGCGUGGGGAGCAAACAGG
rnacentral:rRNA from 1 species